rnacentral:misc_RNA from 1 species
GCUGAGGAUGCUGCCAGAGAGGCUGAUGCUGCUGAAGCUGAUGCCGAAGCUGCACAAGCCUUUGCAGAAGCUGCAAUGAAAGCACUAGAAGGGAGAAGCAUCCCAAGGAUGAUGAUCCAUGCUUGAUGGGAUCUUCCAGAGUUGUGGCUUGAUACUAUAGCUUUGAUGGAUUUUUUCCAUUUUGUUAUUUUUCAAACCUUUAGCCAGCUACUUGCUGGCUUGUAAAUUUGGUAAAUAGUUGUGGAAAUGUAUACACUGUUUGUGAUAGUAAAGCCUUUCCG